rnacentral:rRNA from 1 species
CGGCGAGUGCAUCGGGCAUGCUCCCAUUUGACAUCCUCCGGGAAUUGUAUUUGACGGUGGGGUUGAAUAGGUCUAGAUACUUAAAGUCCAUUGGAAAAUGGCGCCAUGGAGGGUGAUAGCCCCGUAAAAGUAUUCAAACCUUCUUUUCCUCCCCUCCUAAGAGUCCAGUUGUUUGGGAAUGCAGCUCUAAGUGGGUGGUAAAUUCCAUCUAAAGCUAAAUAUUGGCGAGAGACCGAUAGCGAACAAGUACAGUGAUGGAAAGAUGAAAAGCACUUUGAAAAGAGAGUGAAAAAGUACGUGAGAUUGUUGAAAGGGAAGGGCUUGCAAGCAGACACAACCUCGGUUGGGCCAGCAUCGGAGUGGGGGGAGACAAAAAAGGUUAGGAAUGUAGCUCCCUUUAGAGUAUUAUAUCCUAGCCCUAUAUCUCCAUCCCCUUCCGAGGCCUGCGAUUCUUCAAGGAUGCUGGCGUAAUGGUUGCAAGUCGCCCGUCUUGAACUCCGGACCAAUA